AUACGUAGGGGGCGAGCGUUGUCCGGAAUGAUUGGGCGUAAAGGGCGCGUAGGCGGCGCGGUAAGUCUGGAGUGAAAGUCCUGCUUUCAAGGUGGGAAUUGCUUUGGAUACUGCCGCGCUUGAGUGCAGGAGAGGUUAUCGGAAUUCCAGGUGUAGAGGUGAAAUGCGUAGAGAUCGGGAGGAACACCAGUGGCGAAGGCGGGUAACUGGACUGCAACUGACGCUGAGGCGCGAAAGUGUGGGGAGCAAACAGGAUUAGAUACCCUGGUAGUCCACACUGUAAACGAUGAAUGCUAGGUGUAAGAGGUAUCGACCCCUUUUGUGCCGGAGUCAACACAAUAAGCAUUCCGCCUGGGGAGUACGGCCGCAAGGUUGAAACUUAAAGGAAUUGACGGGG
rnacentral:rRNA from 1 species